GUGAAACAAUGCAGGACUCCAUGGGGGAAAUGUUUUAUUUCCUGCCUCAAAACGUUUUUAAAGGCCUGUGCGAAUGCACUCCUGUGCCAGAUACUUGUGAAAUGGUAGUAGCUUUCCCGGAAGGCAGUCAUGGUUUAUCUCUAAUUUCUGUGUUUUCCCAGAGUUCCCCAUCGCCGUGACUGUGCUGGCUGUUAUCGGCAAGGCUUCUCUUGGGGCCUCCUUUUCGACCACCUAUGUGUUCUCUGCGGAGAUAUUUCCCACGGUUGUCAGGCAGACGAGCUUAGGUUUGUGCUCCACGUCGGCCAGAAUCGGUGGCAUUCUCGCCCCACUGGUCGGUCUUUUGGAUGAGAUCCAUCCUGCAAUUCCCAUGGUUCUGCUUGGAAGCACGGCGUUGGUCGGGGGAAUCCUCUGCUUCUUUCUUCCCGAGACCCGGAACAAAGAUCUUCAAGACGACACCACCAAGGCUCCACCAAGCCAACAAGCCAACAAGACAGCCCCAAAUUGUGUUGAAAAUGGACCUGUGGAAGAGAAAGAUGCCAACGGGAUUAUAGAAACCACCAAGAGUACAUACCUGUAGUGCCAAAAUCAAAUCUCCUGGCUUUGGAAGGAAAGACGGAAUGUUUCAUUUUUAAACAUGAACUUUAUUGACAAGUGUUCUGGGUAUCCUCCUCGAUUCUGCCUUCGUGUGCAAAAAGGUAGAUCUCUCCGCCAUUUUUGAAAGCAAAUGCAUAAUCCAGCAGGUCUGGAUUAACCUGAUUCAUACAUGAGGAACUUUUGAGUCCUUUUACUUUUCCAGCUCUAUUAGCUUUGUACACCUCCAUGUUCUCAAACUGUGGCUGCCGUUUCUUCACGCAGAGUUCCUCACAGUGGAGUUAAAUAAAGUCAUAGCUCAUCUUCCUGA